rnacentral:rRNA from 1 species
GACAUAGGUGGCGAACGUUAUCCGGAAUUAUUGGGCGUAAAGGAUGCGUAGAUGGUAGAAUAAGUUACUGGUCGAUGCCAAACUCAAUUUGACGGAAGCUGGUAAUACUGUUCUGCUCGAGGACAGGAGAGGUUGAUGGAAUUCUGUGUGGAGCGGUGAAAUGCGUUGAUCCACAGAGGAACACCAAAAAAGGCGAAGGCAGUCAACUAUUCUAUUCCUGACAUUGAGGCAUGAAAGCGUGGGGAGCAAACCGG